rnacentral:misc_RNA from 1 species
UUGAAUUCACUUGGUUAGGUUGCUGCUGGCUUUUGGAAGCAUGUGCACACCUACACCAAUUUCAACCACCUGUGCACAUUGUGUAGAUCUUGGAUGCUUGAGGAAUAGAUAUUUAUUUAUCUGUUCUCGCGUUCAAAGUCUUACAUUUUAUAAUAUCACUCCAAAAGAAUGUAUUAGAAUGUUUUUAAUAGGCCUUUUUGUGUCAAAAUUAUAAA